UGUACGCAUGGAGCGUCCGCUGGCACAGCGCCGAGCGCACGCAAUCCUCUUUCGUGAAGCGGACAAUUCCCACCAUCUCAUCUUCCUCAAAGCGCGCCAGCGCAUCGCUUAAGCCGGACUGUACUCCUCUCGGCAGGUCGCACUGGGUGAUAUCGCCGUUAACGAUGACCGUCACGUUUUCCCCGAGGCGCGUC
rnacentral:antisense_RNA from 1 species